rnacentral:misc_RNA from 1 species
UCCGGUUUGUCACCGGCAGUCCCAUUAGAGUGCUCAACUGAAUGUAGCAACUAAUGGCAAGGGUUGCGCUCGUUGCGGGACUUAACCCAACAUCUCACGACACGAGCUGAUGACAGCCAUGCAGCACCUGUGUUACGGUUCCCUUUCGGGCACACCCCCAUCUCUGGGUUUAGCGCGGGAUGUCAAACCCUGGUAAGGUUCUGCGCGUUGCGUCGAAUUAAUCCACAUAAUCCACCGCUUGUGCGGGUCCCCGUCAAUUCCUUUGAGUUUUAACCUUGCGGCCGUACUCCCCAGGCGGUCGACUUCACACGUUAGCUUCGUUACUGAGAGUGUCAAACCCCCAACAACCAGUCGACAUCGUUUAGGGCGUGGACUAC